rnacentral:rRNA from 1 species
AUUGAACGCUGGCGGCAUGCCUUACACAUGCAAGUCGAACGGCAGCACGGGAGCAAUCCUGGUGGCGAGUGGCGAACGGGUGAGUAAUAUAUCGGAACGUGCCCAGUCGUGGGGAUAACGUAGCGAAAGCUACGCUAAUACCGCAUACGAUCUAUGGAUGAAAGCGGGGGGAUCGCAAGACCUCGCGCGAUUGGAGCGGCCGAUAUCAGAUUAGGUAGUUGGUGAGGUAAAGGCUCACCAAGCCGACGAUCUGUAGCUGGUCUGAGAGGACGACCAGCCACACUGGGACUGAGACACGGCCCAGACUCCUACGGGAGGCAGCAGUGGGGAAUUUUGGACAAUGGGCGCAAGCCUGAUCCAGCAAUGCCGCGUGCAGGAUGAAGGCCUU